rnacentral:rRNA from 1 species
GGGCCCGCACAAGCAGCGGAGCGUGUGGUUUAAUUCGAUGCAACACGAAGAACCUCACCCAGGCUUGACAUACAAGAAGUAGUGAACCGAAAGGGGAACGAACUGUUAAGUCAGUCGCUUGAACAGGUGCUGCAUGGUUGUCGUCAGCUCGUGCCGUGAGGUGUUGGGUUAAGUCCCGCAACGAGCGCAACCCUCGUUGCCAGUUGUUUUCUCUGGCGAGACUGCCCCGCAAGACGGGGAGGAAGGUGGGGAUGACGUCAAAUCAGCACGGCCCUUAUGCCUGGGGCUACACACACGCUACAAUGGGCGGUACAAUAGGUUGCAAUGGGGUGACUCGGAGCUAAUCCUAAAAACCGUCCCCAGUUCAGAUUGUAGGCUGAAACCCGCCUGCAUGAAGUCGGAGUUGCUAGUAAACGCAUAUCAGCAUGGUGCGUUGAAUACGUUCUCGGGCCUU